AUACGGAGGAUGCGAGCGUUAUCCGGAUUUAUUGGGUUUAAAGGGAGCGUAGGUGGGAUAUUAAGUCAGCUGUGAAAGUUUGGGGCUCAACCUUAAAAUUGCAGUUGAUACUGGUUUCCUUGAGUACGGUACAGGUGGGCGGAAUUCGUGGUGUAGCGGUGAAAUGCUUAGAUAUCACGAAGAACUCCGAUCGCGAAGGCAGCUCACCGGGCCGGAACUGACACUGAUGCUCGAAAGUGCGGGUAUCAAACAGGAUUAGAUACCCUGGUAGUCCGCACAGUAAACGAUGAAUACUCGCUGUUUGCGAUACACGGUAAGCGGCCAAGCGAAAGCGAUAAGUAUUCCACCUGGGGAGUACGCCGGCAACGGUGAAACUCAAAUGAAUUGACGGGG
rnacentral:rRNA from 1 species